CUAAUGUGUUCUUGAAGCAAGUAACCUCCAAUUCCUAAGCAUAUAAUCAAGCCAACCAGGUUGCCUCGGAAUGUGUAGGCUAUUAGAUUCGGAGCCACCACAAUGAGUAGGAUCGCAGCAGCCGGUAACUCAAACCAUUCUUAUAAACAACAAUAACAGAGAUAGUCAAUCAGCAAUGAGCUUGUGAAGAAGAAUCAAUUUUAUUUAGAAUGGUAACAAACCUCGGAAGUGUUUAGGAAAGAAGAGUUGUAGAACAACAGCUACAAUCGCAAUCCAUUUACCAAUUUCACCUCUAUGAAAUUUAAGACAUUAUAAAGUUAAAGACACAUCUCAGAAUAAAUCGAAGUGUUGCAUCUGGUUUACCUGAAAAGGCUAAAGAUGACAGAAGGAAGGCUGAAGAAGAUGUAAGGAAUCAAAAGUGAUGUGAGCAUAUUGGUCUUCCAGUUAGUUCGGUCCAAGACCAACAAGUAUCUGCAUUUCAUUACAUAACAAGAUCAGCAUAAAGAAACCAAGCAAGAGAGAGGAUAAGUGAGUAAAAGACAGAGAGAGAGAGAGAGAGGGAGAGGUUACAUGGCGGCGACUGAAGCAAUCCAUUCGAGGAUGGAAGUACCAAAGCCUAAACCAGUGAGCAUGAAGGUGUGAUUAGCAAGGUUCUUCGCAGCGGUAGCGAGCUCGUUGAGAUCUGUUCCAAGCAUGUUUUGAAGGGUUCCAUGGUCACUCCUCAUCGGCGUGAAAGUCAUUUACUUGGCCGAAGAAUACAGAGGAAGAGAAAAAGUUGGCAACUUUGAAAAUUAUAGAGCAGAGAGGAGAGAAGAUGGUUGUGAAGGACUCGUGAUUGGUGUAACAACAUAAUAUAGAAGUGAAUAGCUGGAUACUUCCUCGCCACGUGGCACGUGAGAUCUUUUUAGGAAAUAUUUUUAACUUAUAUAAAUGUAGUAUCGAUCUUUUAUAUUUUUUUGUUCACAGUAUUUUAUACGUUUAUAGUAUACUUUACUAACCCAAUCGAUGACUGAGGAAGACAGUUGACACGUGUCGAGUUGUGAAUUCUCCCACGUUGCGAUGGACCUUCUACGAGUGUGUAAUUGGUGGACGUAAGCAACGCUGGUUCGAGCCAGCUGUAAUUUAAUUAUAGUGGAAUAUGAUAUUUAAUCUAAUUUAAUUGUAAAAUUAUAUGUUUCGACCAGUUUUAAAUGUAGUCAAUAGUGAAACAAGAAAAGCGUAUUUGCACUUGUGUGGUUUCGAUUUCUAUUAUAAUUUCGAUUCAUAAAAACUGUAACCAUAAAAAUUAAAAACAUACUUAAAUAUACAUUAAUAAAUAUAUAAAUAAGAUACUAAGAGCAUCUUCAAAGAGUCUUUAUUUUUUCUUCUAUAAUUUACAUUAAAAUAGAGUAACUUUAUUAUAGAGUUGAAUUUGCUCCAAAAGUUCACUCUAUAAUAGAGUUACUCUAUAAUAGAGUGAAAUAUAGAGUAAUCUUAUUUUUUUACUCUAAAUAUAGAGUAAAAAAACAAGAAUACUAUAUAUUUCACUAUAUUAUAGAGUAACUCUAUUAUAAAGUGAACCAUUGAAGCAAAUCCAACUCUAUAAUAGAAUUAUUUGUAGCAUUGGAGAUGGUCUAAUUAGUAGCCCCGGAAAAAAACCGAACCUCAAUUAUGAACGGUUGCGCGAAAUUCGAAACAUAGCGUAGUAUAGACUUUCCAGUUGGAUUAAAUUAUUUAUUUUUAUAUUUAUUUAUUUAGUAUUUGAUGUCGGCAGAAGAUAUUUUUGGUUUUGAACAUUAGAGAAAUGGAGGAAGAGGUUGGAUGCUUUCCUAAUGUUUAUAGCUUUAGUGUUUUGAUGGAAACGUAUUGUUUUCGAGGUAUGAUGGUUGAAGCAGAGAGGGUGUGGGAAGAGAUGAGGUUAAAAGGAGUGGUUUAUGAUGUUGUGGCUUACAACACUAUGAUUGGUGGGCUUUGUAGUAACUUAGAGGUUACUAAAGCCAAGAAGCUUUUUGAGGAUAUGGGGUCCAAGGGAGUAGAGUGUACUUCUUUAACUUAUGAUCAUCUCGUUAGAGGGUAUUGUAAAGUUAAGGAUGUUGAUUCGGCUAUGGCUGUUUAUAGGGAGAUGAAAAGUAAGAGUUUUGAGGCAGAGGGUUUAACCAUUGAAGCGUUGGUGGAAGGAUUGUGUGAUGGUAACAAAGAAAGAGUUGUUGAAGCCGCGGAGAUCGUGAAGGAAGCGGUGAGGGAAUCAGAGUUUUGUCCUAGUCGGAAAUGUUAUGAGUUGCUGAUAAAGAGGUUGUGUGAAGAAGGGAAGAUGGAUAGAGCGUUGAGCAUUCAGGCAGAGAUGGUUGGAAGAGGACUUAAACCUAGCCAAGAGACGUAUAAAGCUUUUAUCGACGGGUAUGGAAGAGCAGGUGAUGAAGAAACAUCUUCAUUGUUGGCUAUAGAAAUGGCUGAAUCACUCAAGCUAAGAGAUGAGGAAGAAGAAAGCUAGAAUUUUGAGCUUUCUAUGUAUGUUGCAAGUGACAAAUCUCAACUCAAUUCAUACUGAACAAACACAUCAUUGACCAUUCUUAUUUCUGAAAGUCUCGACUUGUGAAUAGGUCAAGAGGGUAAAACUAAAACAAGAUUGGUUGACAAGUUAUGAGGAGAGACAGAAUCAUAAAAAUCACUCUUACAUAAACACAAAUGGGGAAAAUAAACAGAGAAGUUGUGAAAUGAUGUUUUGCUUAAAAGAUGAUAGCCCAAACGGGGAAGACGACGAGAGCAAUAAUCCCAAGGGUGUUGGAGAUGCCAUUAGCUUUAGUGAAUGCGUUUUUGAAUCCACCAGAAGCUCUAAUGUGUUCUUGAAGCAAGUAACCU
rnacentral:lncRNA from 1 species